GACGAACGCUGGCGGCGUGCUUAACACAUGCAAGUCGAGCGGUAAGGCCCUUUCGGGGGUACACGAGCGGCGAACGGGUGAGUAACACGUGGGUGACCUGCCCUCAGCUCUGGGAUAAGCCCGGGAAACUGGGUCUAAUACCGGAUAUGACUCCAUGACGCAUGUUGUGGGGUGGAAAGCCCUGUGCGGCUGAGGAUGGGCCCGCGGCCUAUCAGCUUGUUGGUGGGGUGAUGGCCACCAAGGCGACGACGGGUAGCCGGCCUGAGAGGGCGACCGGCCACACUGGGACUGAGAUACGGCCCAGACUCCUACGGGAGGCAGCAGUGGGGAAUCUUGCGCAAUGGGCGAAAGCCUGACGCAGCGACGCCGCGUGAGGGAUGACGGCCU
rnacentral:rRNA from 1 species